UCUGAGGUUAUGUUUUUUUGUUUAUUGUGAUGACAUUCAAAGUUUCCUGUUUUAGUUUGAAAGACUAACUUCUUCUGUCGAUUCAGUUCCUGCCCUUUUGUGUUUCCCAUCUCCGUGAUUAGUUUCACCUGUCCCUAAUUAGCCCUGCAUUCACCAGACCUCUGCUCACCUGUUCCCACUUCCCCAUUAGUCAGUCACUACAUAUACCGGUCCACUUCCUUUGUUCUGUUGUUAGAUAAUCAUCGUUGCUCUAUAGAGUUUUGUUAACUGUUUCACCUACCUGCGUGUUACCUGCCUGCCAUCUGGACUCUCACUGCCUGUCUGUGCCAGAUGUCAGGCUCCACCACUUAGCUCCCGAAGGUCAGACGAAUUGAGCAGGUGAGAUUAUCAAGUCAAUGGUCUUGAACUAAUGACCAGAACAUUGAGCCCAGACCUCUGCGAGCUGCUCAGUGCCUGAGUGGCAGAGAGGAAAUCUGUUUGAGAUGGAGCACCAAUGAAGCACCAAUCAGCCUCUUCUGCAGCAACUGCUAGGAGACGUAUGGACAAAUGAAUGACAUUUAUAACAGCAGAAAGUGAAGAGUCUGUCCCUAGUCUGAAGAAAAAUCAUUCACAGCUCUGCUUUGAAUCAUUUGAUUAAAUAUUGAUGUUGAAAGAAUGCCUCUAAUACUCCUCAUAGGCGCUGGUUGAUAUUCACUGAAAUGUUUCUGCUUCCUAAAAGUUAGAGCAGAAAGGAUAUUUGAGCAAUCCAAUUGAUAGGAAGAAAAGCAUUUUAUAUAUAUUUAUUUAUAUAUUUUAUAGUAACAGUGGAUACAAAAUGUCACUCAUAGUGAGAAUUAUCACUGAGCAUAUUCCAAAAUAAUGUAAAAAGACAGAGUGCCGA